GCUAAACGCGAAGAACCUUACCAAGGCUUGACAUGGAUUUCUAAGCACGUGAAAGCGUGUGACCCUUCGGGGGACUUCCACAGGUGCUGCAUGGCCGUCGUCAGCUCGUGUCGUGAGAUGUUGGGUUAAGUCCCGCAACGAGCGCAACCCUUGUGAACAGUUGCCAGCGCGUCAUGGCGGGAACUCUGUUCAGACUGCCCAGAUCAACUGGGAGGAAGGUGGGGACGACGUCAGGUCAGUAUGGCCCUUACGCCUUGGGCUGCACACGUACUACAAUGCCCAGCACAAUGAGAACCGAUGCCGCGAGGUGGAGGAAAUCUGCAAAACUGGGCUCAGUUCGGAUUGGAGGCUGCAACUCGCCUCCAUGAAGUUGGAAUCGCUAGUAAUGGGGCAUCAUCUACGGCCCCGUGAAUACGUUCCCGGG
rnacentral:rRNA from 1 species